AACCGAAAGGUACGCUAAUACGCAUAUGCCGUGAGGGGCAAAUGGCGGGAUCGCAAGACCUCUCGCUUUCGGAGUGGCCGAUAUCGGAUUAGUUAGUGGUGAGGUAAAGGCUCACUAGGCGACGAUCCGUAGCUGGUCUGAGAGGACGACCAGCCACACUGGAACUGAGACACGGUCCAGACUCCUACGGAGGCAGCAGUGGGGAAUUUUGCGCAAUGGGCGAAACGCCUGACGCAGCAACGCCGCGUGCGGGAUAAGGCCUUCCGGUUGUAAACCGCUCUCAGCAGGGAUGAAACUGCACAGUACCUGCAGAAGAAGACCCCG
rnacentral:rRNA from 1 species